CCUACGGGAGGCAGCAGUGGGGAAUAUUGGGCAAUGGAGGCAACUCUGACCCAGCAACGCCGCGUGAAUGAUGAAGGUCUUCGGAUUGUACAGUUCUGUGAUGGGGGAUGAACACAAUGACGGUACCCCAAUAGCAAGCCACGGCUAACUACGUGCCAGCAGCCGCGGUAAUACGUAGGUGGCAAGCGUUAUCCGGAUUUACUGGGUGUAAAGGGCGUGUAGGCGGGAGAGCAAGUCAGACGGGAAAUUCCAGGGCUCAACCCUGGAACUGCGUUUGAAACUGUUCUUCUGGAGUGAUGGAGAGGCAGGCGGAAUUCCGUGUGUAGCGGUGAAAUGCGUAGAUAUACGGAGGAACACCAGUGGCGAAGGCGGCCUGCUGGACAUUAACUGACGCUGAGGCGCGAAAGCGUGGGGAGCAAACAGGAUUAGAUACCCGGGUAGUC
rnacentral:rRNA from 1 species